CUUGCUCCAGUGUCUUCAGUACCCGCGGGCGUCAUCGACGUCGCACGGAUUCCUCUAGGCUGAUCUGCACAUCUCGCGCACCGCACUCCCUGUCGCCAUAAGCCGCCAUCAUGGUGAAGCUUGCAAAGGCUGGUAAAAAUCAAAGUGAGUCCAAGAAAAUGGCUCCUCCCCCAAAGGAGGUGGAAGAAGACAGUGAAGAUGAAGAAAUGUCAGAAGAUGAAGAGGAGGACAGCAGUGGAGAGGAGGUUGUCAUCCCUCAGAAAAAAGGCAAGAAGGCUACAACUCCAGGAAAGAAAGUGGUGGUUUCACAAACAAAAAAGGUUGCAGUUGCCACACCUGCUAAGAAGGCAGCUGUCACCCCAAGCAAAAAGGCAGGAGCCACACCAGCAAAGAAGACAGUUACACCAGCCAAAGCAGUUGCAACACCUGGUAAGAAGGGAGCUACACAAGCAAAAGCAUUGGUAACACCCCUUAAUAAGAAGGGAGCUAUCACCCCAGCCAAGGGAGCAAAGAAUGGUAAGAAUGCCAAGAAAGAAGGCAGUGAUGAGGAGGAUGAAGAGGAAGAGGAAGAUGAUAGUGAUGAGGAGGAAGAUGAAGAGGACGAGGAGCAGGAGGAGGAAUUUGAGCCUGCAGUUCUGAAAAAAGUAAAAGCAGUGAAACCAGCAAAAGGGGCAAAAGCAACAGCACCUGCUCCUGCCUCAGAAGAUGAGGAGGAAGAUGAUGAUGAGGAGGAGGAGGAGGAAGAUGAUUCUGAAGAAGAAGAUGAUUCUGAAGAAGAAGCUGUGGAGAUCACGCCAGCCAAAGGAAAGAAAGCUCCUGCCAAAGUUGUUCCUGUGAAAGCCAAGGGUAUGACUGAGGAGGAGGAAGACGAUGAUGAAGAUGAAGAUGAUGAAGAUGAAGAUGAUGAUGAAGAGGAGGAAGAAGAGGAUGAAGAAGAGGAGGAGGAAGAAGAGCCUGUUAAAGAAGCACCUGGAAAACGGAUAAAAGAAAUGACUAAACAGAAAGAAGCUCCUGAGGCCAAGAAGCAGAAAAUUGAAGGCUCAGAACCAACUACACCUUGCAAUCUGUUCAUUGGAAACUUGAAUCCUAGCAAAUCAGUUGCUGAAUUAAAAGUUGCUAUCAGUGAACUUUUUGCUAAAAAUGAUCUUGCUGUUGUGGAUGUCAGAACUGGUACAAAUAGGAAAUUUGGUUAUGUUGAUUUUGAGUCUGCUGAAGCCUUAGAAAAGGCUUUGGAACUCACUGGCUUAAAAGUGUUUGAUAAUGAAAUUAAACUAGAAAAACCAAAAGGAAGAGACAGUAAGAAAGUUCAGGCUGCAAGAACACUUUUGGCCAAAAACCUGUCUUUCAACGUCACUGAGGAUGAAUUAAAAGAAGUGUUUGAAGAUGCCAUGGAGGUUAGAUUGGUUAGCCAGGAUGGGAAGAGGAAAGGGAUUGCUUAUUGAAUUUAAGACAGAAGCAGAUGCAAGAAAACCUUUGAAGAAAAGCAGGGGGCAGAAAUUGAUGGGCGAUCUGUUUCACUACACUACACUGGAAAGAAAGGUCAAAGGCAAGAGAGAGUGGGAAAGAAUAGCACUUGCUGA